UCAUAUAUCAAGCUCUAAGCUUGUUUUGAGCCAUCUUGUUCUUUUGAUGAACAGGCUUGAAAUGCAAGUGGCGAUAUGCAGUUUGAUGCCUAGUAUUAUAGAGCUCUGUCACAUGCUUUAGUGGCUCAGACUGAUAUAUUCAGUCUUUUUUAUAAAUUAGAUUCAAAAGA
rnacentral:misc_RNA from 1 species